rnacentral:rRNA from 1 species
UACGUAGGGUGCGAGCGUUGUCCGGAAUUAUUGGGCGUAAAGGGCUCGUAGGCGGUCUGUCGCGUCGGGAGUGAAAACCCAGGGCUCAACCCUGGGCCUGCUUCCGAUACGGGCAGACUAGAGGUAUGCAGGGGAGAAUGGAAUUCCUGGUGUAGCGGUGAGAUGCGCAGAUAUCAGGAGGAACACCAGUGGCGAAGGCGGUUCUCUGGGCAUUACCUGACGCUGAGGAGCGAAAGUGUGGGGAGCGAACAGG